GUGACGAAGCGACGCCGCGUGCGGGAGGAAGGCCUUCGGGUUGUAAACCGCUGUCGGGAGUUAGGAAAUGCAAGGAUGUUAAUAGCGUCCUUGCUUGACUAAGGCUCCGGAGGAAGCCACGGCUAACUCUGUGCCAGCAGCCGCGGUAAUACAGAGGCGGCAAGCGUUGUUCGGAAUUAUUGGGCGUAAAGAGCACGUAGGCGGCUGUGUAAGUCGGUUGUGAAAGCCUUCCGCUCAACGGAAGAACGGCAUCCGAUACUGCAUGGCUUGAGUGUGGGAGGGGAGAGUGGAACUUCUGGUGGAGCGGUGAAAUGCGUAGAUAUCAGAAGGAACACCGGCGGCGAAGGCGACUCUCUGGUCCGUAACUGACGCUGAGUGUGCGAAAGCUAGGGGAGCAAACGGGAUUAGAUACCCCGGUAGUCCUAGCCGUAAACGAU
rnacentral:rRNA from 1 species